rnacentral:lncRNA from 1 species
UAAAGAGUCAGUAGAAAUGAAGGGAGACACAUCUGCAAAGCAAGGAAGCACAUUCCAAGAAAUACCACAUUCUAGUCCCUGCUCUGAAUUUACCAAAGAUGACUUUGAAACAGACUCUCUUAUAUGGCAGCAUCUGUUAGCUACGAAAUACAAAAAGACUGCUCAGUGUUACCCUACUCUGGUGAGACUGGGAGUGAAAGGGAUGGGCAGAAGCAUCUUGGCAGUAGGACCACAUGUGGAUUUUCAGUCAUUACAAAGUGAAGAGGCCAUUUUUUGCAUCCUCUAUUGGGUUGUGCCGGUGAAGAGCCACAGAGACACACUGAUGAGCCCAAGUGCUUGA